AGGCAAGCCCUUUGGGCUCUGUGAUGCUCACCCUCUACAUUAGGAUUUUACUAUGACAUAAGACAGUGUAAACUCAGAUCCACAAGCCAAGGGCCAAUGCUUUCCUAUGCAGCACAAGUGGCUUGUGGAAAACCAUUCUCACAGAGACUGGGAGCAGGAACAGAAAUGCUGGCUGGCAUUUCUAGAACUCAUGCUCAGCUGUGUGGAAAUCACUUGGGGUCAUAUUCGGCGUUCCUGAAGAGGUAGCAAGGUUUUCGUUCUUGCUUGAAGGAGCUCAGGAACCUGGGAUUUGUCUGGGCCUGAUCAACAAGUCACAACCUUUCUCAGAGCCUCAGUUUCCUCCCAGUCAAGUAGAGAGAAGAAGACUCCAUCCAUGGAGGAUGGAAAAGGAGGAUGUCUGUAGCCGACCUUAAACCAUGGAAGGGAGCUGCUUUGGGGGCCGCAGCACCUUCUAAGACAAGCCUAUCCCUAGAAGUCUCUUAGCCUGGGCGAAGGUGGAUGGAAGAAACAUCCAGAAAGUGGCUCAACGAUUGGAACACUUGGUCCCUGACUGGAGGGCAGGAACUUAGAUGACAUGGAGCUGCUUAGCCAUGCGUUGGCCAGCAGAGGCGGGCCUCAAGGUUCAGAGCCUGGCCCUGCUUCCAGCUUCCUGUUUGGGGGUUGACAGGGAAGCGCAGCUGGCUCCUGUGCUUGCUACCAUCCCUGGGAGGCACUCCCACCACCCACCACCAUUGCCUCCCCCACCAUGAUGAACCGC